CCACCAACAUGUAAUAUCUCUUGAUCCUACAAUUUCCUUCACAUGUAAACAUUGAGGAUGUGACUUCUCAUGAAUGCAUGCAAGGAAAUGAACAUCAUUGCUGGUUUAGGAACUUCCUUGUCCACUACAUCACUAACAGAAGAUUCAACCUCCAGCACAAAGUAGGCUUUGUGGACAUCCAAGCCAUCUGGUGAAGGCCUCCUUAAUCAUCCUCUUGAAAAUGAAUCAAUGUCACCUUUCCUUUCAUUGAAAUUUGCUGAUUAUGCUUUAGACACACUUCACGAUGUCCUUGGAACCAAAUUGAAACAUUUCCCUUCCUUAAUGUUGUCCAAGCACUUGGAUCUAUCAAUGGAUGGAGGAAAUAUAGAUUGUUGGGGAGAUGACAUUGGAACUUGAGGAACCACCUAGUGUGUAGGUCUGUUGGUUCACGGUACUUUACCAAAACAGGCAGGAUCAGUGUUGGAAGAGAGUUGAGCUUCUAGACCACGAAACUUG
rnacentral:lncRNA from 1 species